rnacentral:sRNA from 1 species
ACAUUUACUUCUCAUUAUUUGCAGAUAAGAAAAAUAUAGCAUGGAGUAUAUUUUUUUUUAUUUCUUGACUGUAUGGUCUAUUACAUCUUUUAUUGUGACAUUUAUAAUGAUAGUCGAUAUAAGGAUUUUUAAUAUCUUUAUAAUAAAUUAGAAACCGAACUAUAUAUCCUCCCUUAGUAUAUGCUCAUGAACAUUAAGCUCGGCCGCAUUUUACCAUUUGAAAAGCAUAUAUUAAAAUGGAAUUCGUUAAAACAAAUUGUUUGUAUAUUGAGAAAUCUAGCAGCCAAAGUCACAGUACGGUACGUAGAAUACAAAGAGAAAAUGGCAAAUUAGUACAAGAGACAAACUUGAUGGUCUUUUCUGUCAUUCUCUAUUUUCCACUUUUAUUUUCUCCCUUUUUCGUAUCAUCUUAUUGGCCCUUAUAAAGUUGAAAAUUAAAGGACCUAUUGGCCCAUUUAUCAAUUAAAUGUAUGGUGUAUUUAAUGUAUGUAUAGUUAGUACUGAUUUUCAUUCUUCUGUGCAAUUAGUGUCCUUACUUUUUCUCUAAUCAUUCUUAUUAUAUUGCUUUUAGCAAAUUUAAUCUAGAUAGAGGGUUUUUAUAAUUCUUUGAAAUCAGUUCCCUGAAUAUUAUAUUCUCUCUGUCUUAUACUUUUCUUUUAAGGUUCACAUCAAACUUUUCGUUAUUAGUUCAACAAAAUUGAAUGUUGAUUAUUAAUUUGUACAUAUUCAUCUCGUAUAUUUAUUUAUAUCUGCUAUAUAUUAGACGUAGCAUAACUGUCCAAACUAUGGAAUGAAUUAUGAAACAUUUUAGAUCAUCUUUUGAUGAGUAUGCGUGUUUAUGCAUAAUCCCUUUUUUUUUACACACCCAGCGUAGAUUUCUGAUCGAAACCCAAACUAAAAAAUAUAGAAAACUAAAACUUCUUAUUAUUUAAGCAGAUGCAUAAUUGCUUUAAUCAUGUGCAUUGUCUUACCAAAAAAAAACACAAAACAAAUGUGCAUUGUUUUCUCUACUAAAGAAAUAUAUUGCAUGUUGACUUAAAAACUCAUAGAUAUUCUUUUAUGUUUAUAAUACUAUUAAAAACAUACUGUAUUAUUGUGUAAGAGAUUUUAUUUUAUUUUUUGGUUAAAAGCGGAUACAGUCAUAUAGUUACUAAAAUAGACGAAUGUUUGUGAAAAAAACUUUGUUUACGACUUUACGAGCAUUUGUAUUUGUCAUGACCAUUUUUUAUGAAAAAAUGUUUGCCAACGAGAGAGAGAUACCAUCACAUAGUCAUAUAUGCAAACUUUAAAAAUGUCUAGUUAAUUAUACGGAGUGUUGUUAUCACAUACGAACACCUUCAAACAAACAUAAGUCAUAUUUACACAAAGGACAAUAAUUUAUGUAGCUAGCGAGAUAUUUUUAAAGUUUAGAUAUCUUUUUUUUAUACUUUUCAAAUAUUGUCUUUAUUGGUAACUUUUACAAAGAUUCAACUUUUACCGUGAUGGUUGAAGAUUUUUAGUUAAUCAAAUUCGUCCUUUUAGUGUAUAGGAACAAUUAUAAAGUUAAGCAAAUUUAUCUCUAGAAGACAUUUUUGAAAACCUUAAAGACAUAAAAAAAAUUUUUUUAGUAAAAUGUGAAGUUAAAUGCUACAUAAUUGUUUAAAGCGAAUUUCAAAAUAUAUUGCGUGGUUGAAUUUAUUCAUUAUAGAAAACAUCAGUUGAAUUUAUUCAUUUUAGAAAACAUUAGUUGUUUCAAAUUGCUUUUAAAGUAUUGUUAAAUAGACCGUUGGAGAGCAGAAAUGUAGAUAUUUUUUAGUAAUGUGUUCUUGAUAAGAUAACGGUUAUUUGUUUUGUUAACUAACUGAUAUAUAAAACUUAAUUCAAACAUUUCAUUCAAAUCAAAAAGAUGACUAAGACACUUUGUGUCGCAAAUUCGAACACGCCUACUAUGGGUUUUGUACGGACGCUUGAUGUAGAUCAUGUUGUGUAAUGAGCAGCAAAUAUCGAAGCACCAUCCUUCCUUCGUAACAAUAUUUGAAAAAUACUCCUGUAUUAAAGAUGAUUAAUUUUAUUUAAAAUAUCGUAAAAUUCGUGUAAAAUAUCCUUUAUGUGGGAGAGUGUGAACCACGUAUUGCAUAGACCAAACAAAAAAAUCAUUGUUAAAUAAUAGCAACAGUUAUGAAUAUGAUUGAGCGUUGAUGCUGCAUGCCUGCAUUCCAUAUGUAAUUUAUCUAUGGAUGUCAUGUCAGUAACGAUUUUCAAUUUAUUUAUUUAAUUGAUUUGAUUAUACAAAGUGUCAUCAUUAAUAUAUUGCGUCUAGAAACUAAUCUCAUAUUCAUGUCGGCUGUGGAUUUUUAAGUUCGACCUAAGUGGCUACUUACGAAUUAAAAAUUAAUUAAAUAUUUACUUUUCUCUAUUAAUAGUUGAUGUUUAUAAAAAUAUUUUUGAGAGCUCAUAACUAUCUUUUGGAGUAGGAAGAAUAUGUUUGCAGGAUGGACUCAUUCUAGUGGAUUCCUUUCUAAAAUUAUAGGCCUAACCUAUGAUAUGUCAUGUAUUCGAUCAUAGAGGAUUUCGAUUGCUGUCGAACAUUUGAGAUGGACUGCUUAGAACUGCUAUCGAUGGCUCAAUGUCCGUCGGAUUGGACAGCAAUUUUCAAUACUUGGGAUAAUUUUUCUUGGUUAAGCAAUUGGUUUAAUUGCUCUGUUUUCCCUAUUUACGUAUAUUAAAUUCUCAAACAGACCGUUUAAUCCUUAAUUUCAAAGAUAUGAUUGUGUUUAAGCCUUACGUAAACUAUUUUCUUACCGAUGUAUACAAAUAAACCAAAUAGUUAAAAUACGGUUGAAAAAAAUAUUUGUUGUCUUUCGUAAAGGUUAGACUAUCGAAUGAAUUAUGUUUCACCACAUGUGUAAAAAAAACACUAUAUAUGUACCAUAUCCUUGCUUUUGUUUUUUAUCAGAGACAAAAAAAUUCUAUCAAAUUUGUGUAUUGUCUAAUAAAAACUGUGUAUUAACUAUUAAGAGGUUAUUGGUAUUAGGUGUAGCAUUAAGAGUAUAAAACUAUAAAUUCACUAUAUUACUAUUUCCAUGAUUGAUUUCAUUGUGUAACUUUGUGGUUAUACUAUUUACUAAAACGUUUUACUAAAUUGUAUGCCCAAUUUCGAGAGAUUAGUCAAACAUGUUGGGAGAACCCUCAUGAGUAUAUGUAUCUACUACUUACUCUAUUAAAAAACUAUGAACACGUUUUAUUAUUAAAUUAUUGUUAACCAAAAAAAUAUUAGUCUCUUUAAUUACUAAUUAAACUGAAACAUGAUGAUGUGAUGAUAUUGAGAGUGACGACGAGAUUAGAUCGAGAUAGAGAAUCCCAUGCCUCUAGGUUCGAAGACCACUUUUAUUCUCCUUAAUCAUUCGUGUUUUUCUUAAUACAAUAUUUUGAAUCAUUUACAAUUACUAAUUUACAUAAUCAAUGUGAGUUUUUUUUUUCCUGCCUAACAGAGUUUUAGUUACUUCUUUAUAACUGCAUUCUGCAGUCAUUUGUGCCAAAACGAGAAGAUAGUCAUCUUGUGACGAGAAAACUAGACUAAUCCAAAAAUAACAAUGAGUAAGUUUGUACUUAG